rnacentral:rRNA from 1 species
AUGGCUCAGGAUGAACGCUAGCUACAGGCUUAACACAUGCAAGUCGAGGGGCAGCAUUGGAGUAGCAAUACUUCAGAUGGCGACCGGCGCACGGGUGAGUAACACGUAUCCAACCUGCCGCUUACUCGGGGAUAGCCUUUCGAAAGAAAGAUUAAUACCCGAUGGUAUAAAGAGUUCGCAUGUUCUCUUUAUUAAAGAAUUUCGGUAAGCGAUGGGGAUGCGUUCCAUUAGAUUGUUGGCGGGGUAACGGCCCACCAAGUCUACGAUGGAUAGGGGUUCUGAGAGGAAGGUCCCCCACAUUGGAACUGAGACACGGUCCAAACUCCUACGGGAGGCAGCAGUGAGGAAUAUUGGUCAAUGGACGAGAGUCUGAACCAGCCAAGUAGCGUGAAGGAUGACUGCCCUAUGGGUUGUAAACUUCUUUUAUAAGGGAAUAAAGUGAGGGACGUGUCCCUUUUUGUAUGUACCUUAUGAAUAAGGAUCGGCUAACUCCGUGCCAGCAGCAGC